ACGGCCAUACCAUGCUGAAUAUACCGGUUUCGUUAGAUCACCGAAGUCAAGCAUCAUUGGGCGCGGUCAGUGCGUGGGUGAGUGACCACCUGGGAACACCACGUGCCGUU
rnacentral:rRNA from 1 species